ACGGGAGGCAGCAGUGAGGAAUAUUGGUCAAUGGGCGGAAGCCUGAACCAGCCAAGUCGCGUGAAGGAUGAAGGUAUUAUGUAUUGUAAACUUCUUUAGCUGUGGAGCAAUAAUCGCCAUGCAUGGCGAGAUGAGAGUACACAGAGAAUAAGGAUCGGCUAACUCCGUGCCAGCAGCCGCGGUAAUACGGAGGAUCCGAGCGUUAUCCGGAUUUAUUGGGUUUAAAGGGUGCGCAGGCGGGCUGUUAAGUCAGCGGUGAAAUCUCCGGGCUCAACUCGGAAACUGCCGUUGAUACUGGCGGUCUUGAUUCAUGUCGAGGAUGGCGGAAUGCAGCGUGUAGCGGUGAAAUGCUUAGAUACGCUGCAGAACUCCGAUUGCGAAGGCAGCUGUCCAGAGAUGCAAUGACGCUCAGGCACGAAAGCAUGGGGAUCGAACAGGAUUAGAUACCCUGGUA
rnacentral:rRNA from 1 species